rnacentral:rRNA from 1 species
UUUAGCGGCGGACGGGUGAGUAACACGUGGGCAACCUGCCCUGCAGAUCGGGAUAACUCCGGGAAACCGGUGCUAAUACCGAAUAGUUUGCGGCCUCUCCUGAGGCUGCACGGAAAGACGGUUUCGGCUGUCACUGCAGGAUGGGCCCGCGGCGCAUUAGCUAGUUGGUGGGGUAAUGGCCCACCAAGGCGACGAUGCGUAGCCGACCUGAGAGGGUGAUCGGCCACACUGGGACUGAGACACGGCCCAGACUCCUACGGGAGGCAGCAGUAGGGAAUCUUCCGCAAUGGACGAAAGUCUGACGGAGCAACGCCGCGUGAGUGACGAAGGUUUUCGGAUCGUAAAACUCUGUUGUGAGGGAAGAACAAGUACCAAGUAACUACUGGUACCUUGACGGUACCUCACCAGAAAGCCACGGCUAACUACGUGCCAGCAGCCGCGGUAAUACGUAGGUGGCAAGCGUUGUCCGGAAUUAUUGGGCGUAA